GAGACAAGCAGUAAGUUAAGUCAAGUGAAAGCAAGGUCAGGAAGGUGGCCUCUGCCACCAGGAUCGUGCAGACACGCUCCCUAACACAAGAGACAACCCUAAACUCAGGAAGCUCUGGGUUCUGCUGCGCUCCCCCCCCCACUCCUCUGCCAUUUCACAGCAUUCUAAAGGAAGUACGUCCCCAGAUUUACUGAUGCAUCAGGAGCUAUCAGACACUGCAGAAAUAAUAAAAUCAUUACCUCAGAAAGACAGAAGGAAACUUAUGUCUCGGAGAAAAUGGAAUUUAUUGGGGGGGCGGUUCAGA
rnacentral:lncRNA from 1 species